rnacentral:lncRNA from 1 species
AACAUUCUUUCUUCCUGGAGGCGGAGGGGGGAAAUCAUCUGAGGCUACAGUAAGUUCAAUCUGAAGUCAAAACCAACCAAUUUGUAUUCAGAAGCAGCAAAAAUACUGGUUAUGGGCUGGGAGGAGCCACAUGUUGGCUUUCUGAGUCCACUGCCAAGGAACAGAUCCAGAGCAAUGCAUUUCAAUUGCUUUGAAAAAUGGCUAAGUUCCAUUACAUACCACCACUAAAGAAGAUACCUCAUUGAUGGAGCUUUUCACCAUGAUAGAGGGCGUCUUGCAUUGGUUCACAAUGGCCUGUUGCUUUUUAGCCUUCAGUUGGUUUAGGGGGAAAUUGCUCAACCUAUGAGACCUGCUCAAAUUCAUACUGUUCUGGUUUUGCUUUGGAAUUCUUUGUCCAGUAAAUUAGCUCUUCAUAACGCAGUUCCACCAUUUCUUAUCCAGCAUAGAUUCAUUCUGCCCUUGACAGCUGGCUAGGUGUGUGUGUAUGUGAGUAGGGGUGCUAUUGAUUGGCACAUAUUGUCCCCCCUGGAGUUUAGGGGUGGCAGAAAGCUUU